CGGACGGGUGAGUAACACGUGGAUAACCUACCUAUAAGACUGGGAUAACUUCGGGAAACCGGAGCUAAUACCGGAUAAUAUAUUGAACCGCAUGGUUCAAUAGUGAAAGACGGUUUUGAUGUCACUUAUAGAUGGAUCCGCGCCGCAUUAGCUAGUUGGUAAGGUAACGGCUUACCAAGGCAACGAUGCGUAGCCGACCUGAGAGGGUGAUCGGCCACACUGGAACUGAGACACGGUCCAG
rnacentral:rRNA from 1 species